rnacentral:rRNA from 1 species
AUUGAACGCUGGCGGCAGGCCUAACACAUGCAAGUCGGACGAGCGGCGGACGGGUGAGUAAUGUAUGGGGAUCUGCCUGAUGGAGGGGGAUAACUACUGGAAACGGUAGCUAAUACCGCAUACCAUCAGAUGAACCCAUAUGGGAUUAGCUGGUAGGUGAGGUAACGGCUCACCUAGGCGACGAUCCCUAGCUGGUCUGAGAGGAUGAUCAGCCACACUGGAACUGAGACACGGUCCAGACUCCUACGGGAGGCAGCAGUGGGGAAUAUUGCACAAUGGGCGCAAGCCUGAUGCAGCCAUGCCGCGUGUAUGAAGAAGGCCUUCGGUUUGUAAAGCACUUUCAGCGGGGAGGCGUUACCCGCAGAAUAAGCACCGGCUAACUCCGUGCCAGCAGCCGCGGUAAUUC